rnacentral:rRNA from 1 species
AGGCUGCAACUCGCCUGCAUGAAGUUGGAAUUGCUAGUAAUCGCGAAUCAGAAUGUCGCGGUGAAUAUUCCCGGGCCUUGUACACACCGCCCGUCACACCAUGAGAGUCGAUAACACCCGAAGCCUGUGAGCUAACCGCAAGGGGGCAGCAGUCGAAGGUGGGGUUGAUGAUUGGGGUGAAGUCGUAACAAGGUAAC